GAUGAACGCUAGCGGCAGGCCUAACACAUGCAAGUCGAGGGGUAGAAUUAGCUUGCUAAUUUGAGACCGGCGCACGGGUGCGUAACGCGUAUGCAAUCUGCCUUGUACUGAGGGAUAGCCCAGAGAAAUUUGGAUUAAUACCUCAUAGCGUUAUUGAAUGGCAUCAUUUAAUAACUAAAGUUCCAAAGGUACAAGAUGAGCAUGCGUCCCAUUAGUUAGUUGGUAAGGUGACGGCUUACCAAGACAAUGAUGGGUAGGGGUCCUGAGAGGGAGAUCCCCCACACUGGUACUGAGACACGGAGCAGACUCCUACGGGAGGCAUCAGUGAGGAAUAUUGGUCAAUGGGCGCAAGCCUGAACCAGCCAUGCCGCGUGCAGGAUGACGGUCCUAUGGAUUUUAAACUGCUUUUAUACGGGAAGAAACACUCCUACGUGUAGGAACUUGACGGUACCGUAAGAAUAAGGAUCGGCUAACUCCGUGCCAGCCGCCGCGGUAAAAC
rnacentral:rRNA from 1 species